AUGGCAUCACCGACGCAACGGACAUGUUGUUGUUCAGUCGCUCAGUUGUGUCUGACUCUUUGUGGGCCCAUGAGCUGCAGCACACCAGGCUUCCCUGUCCUUCACUGUCUUCCGGAGUUUACUCAAAAUUUGAAGCCUGGCAUGCUGAAGUUCUUGGGGUCACGAAGAAUCAGACCUGAUUUAGUGGCCGAACAACAAGGUUCAACUUAUUUUUUCCUUGUCCUUCUGUUUGAGAUCUUAUACCUUAUAGUGUAAGAUCAUAUACCAUAGCUUAUUGUGGUAAUAUUGAUGCUGGUGUAACCUGUCCUCCUCCCUCAAUACCUGGGAAUCUGUGAGCUUGAAUCGGAAAAAAAAACCAUCUUUAUGUACAAUGAAUUCUAACUGAAGUUUGGCAUUUUCUUCCAUUAUGAACCUAGGCAGCAAAUCAAAGUAGUGUUAAAAGAAUCCUGAUUUUGUCCCUAUAUAUCUAUAUUGAAUUAUAGCUGUGCAGAAAUCACCAGAUGUUAUACACACAUACACAUCACUACUUCAAAAUAAUGCUAGAUCCCAGAGCUAUUUUUCCAUCUUAUUACUUGUAUUAAUAAAGAAACACUUAUAUAUUACUGUAUCACAGUUUUAACACAUGAUGACGAUGAAAUCUAAGUAUCCUUUGUUUUGAAAUGUUUUGUGUUUUAGGUAUUUAAAAACAUCAUAUGGAGGAGACUUCUAGAAGCAUCACCUCAUUUCCCUGGGGUCUGAGGCAUACAAAAGUUUAAGCCCCUCCUCUUUGUGAUUUAAAUUUUAUACCAAGGAACUGGGACUAACAGAGGGACUCUCAACCUCGGCUGCCUAUACGAAUUACCUGGGGGCUUCAAGUAUUGCUGGUGCCUGGGUCAUUUGUGUGUGUGUGCGUGUGUGUGCGCGUGCACUGAGUCAUAUUGGACUCCUCGUGACCUCAUGGCCUGUAGCCUGCCCUCUGUCCAUGGGAUUCUCCAGGCAAGAGUUCUGGAGGGAGUUUCCAUUUCCUCCUCCAGGGAUCCAACUCACAUCUCUUGAGUCUUCCUGAAUUGCCAGGUGGAUUCUUUACCACAGAGCCACCUGGAAAGCCC
rnacentral:lncRNA from 1 species